GCUUGAGCACGUGCGAGAACGGAAUCACGUCAGAUCUAUCACUGUGACAUGUAAUACGUUUAUCAGUUUAGGUCCCGUAUGACAGAGAUUUUAGCUUUUAUUUACUGGCUCCGUAACAAGGACGCAAACCCUGAAUUACCAUAUUGAAUCGAGUCAGACAUCAGAAGAUUCUAGAGAUUCACAAUUUUGUUAGAAAAAUUUACUUAUUACUGGAUGCUUAAGAUUCUGCUUAAAGAUGCCGACUUGCAGUACUUUCAACUCUCCCCAAAAGUGCAAGAAAUGCCUCAAAGAUUUUACUGAAAUUUGGAUUCCCAACAAGGAAUGUUGCAUGAUAGAGCGGCUCAAUGCCCAAGUUGAUGAUGAUUAUUUUCAAAGGCAUGAAAUAAAGAAGCUGCGUAACAGAAGUACCGUUCGAGAUCUUCACUCCUUUGUGACGCAUAAUACAGGGACACCUUUUUAUACAUUACAAAAGCCCACAUGCGGAUCCAAUUUCUCUCCCGACACAGACCACAAGAAGUAUAAACAUGGGGUACUGCCGGCGGAUCUAUCCAAGUGGCAGAACAAGAAUUACGAUCUCCAACAACCGAUUGUACGGCCAUUGGCAUUAGCUAGUCAGGUCCCAAAGAAGUUGUAGGCUUGAUAAUUUUACGGUAUUUUAGCAA